GGUGAUGUAGCUCAGUGGUAGAGCAAAGCACUCAUAAUGCUUGGGUCGCGGGUUCGAAUCCCGCCCUCACCUCC
rnacentral:tRNA from 1 species